ACAUAAGAUUAGCAUGUUAUAUAUAUUGUACAUGAUAAAUUGCUUUUAUCUACUGAGUAGUGUUAAUUCCGUUUUAUUUGUAGGUUGUGCUUGCUACUCGACUAUUCUCCAAAACAGAACAACCUUCAGUUCUCCUUCUUCAACUUUCAAGAAUACUUAGGAACGUUCUCUUUCAGCGUCAUAAGUGUUGGCGACAACAAAAGUGUGAGAUUUAAUUGGUACGUAACCCUUAGGAGUCAUGGUUACACAAGGCUUCCAUGCCUCCAACUCUGCCAUUUGUACUCACAAGGACAGUUUAAUAUAUCAGCCCUUCCAAUAUCAAUUCAAUGAACAAGGUAAGUAGUCUAAUUCGUUUGUUGUGGCAUGUUAAAUGCUAUUUCUAACUUCAUUGUAAUUUCACAACUAACAUGAUGACAAUUUAGAUAUUAUGUCCACCUUUAAUGGUAUAGAAACAUGGUCUACUCGCGUUCGUUUCUCUUCUGCAUUUCUCUUGCCCGAGUAGUUCCUCCAUGGCAAUGCUUCAGAUUUAACUCAGUUACUCAGCUUCUCCCCAUUUCUACUACUUGUGCAAAAAUAGUCAUGAGCCAGCCCCAGUCUUUUUACUGCCAAGCAAACAAAGUUGUUGAUGGAGCUCUUCUUAGUCUCAGCUGAGAACUUUGAUUGUAUGCAUUCACAGAGUCUGUCGAGAACGAGGUAUUUAUAAUUACAUAGGAAAUCAUGUGAGGGAAAACUUUAUUCGCAAAAAGGUUGAUCAAAGUAUAUCGAUUGUUGGGCAUGAAGACUGUUAAAGACAAAGCUGAUGGAGUAAAAAUAUCCACUCUUUAGUCCAAUGGAAAGUUCUGUUCACAUCAACAUUAUUUUUUUUAAUGAUGUAUUAUUUAAUUUAUACUGCAAAAUUGUAUCUAUAAAUAUUUAAAGUUAUGUUAUCAAUCAACUAUGUUAAUUUUGA